rnacentral:rRNA from 1 species
UUUAUGGAGAGUUUGAUCCUGGCUCAGGACGAACGCUGGCGGCGUGCCUAACACAUGCAAGUCGAACGGAGAAUUUC